GGAGGGAUGACCGAGUGGCCGAAGGUGCACGAUUGGAAAUCGUGUGUAUCGCAAGGUACCGAGGGUUCGAAUCCCUCUCCCUCCGCCA
rnacentral:tRNA from 2 species